UACGUAGGGGGCUAGCGUUGUCCGGAAUCAUUGGGCGUAAAGAGCGUGUAGGCGGUCCGGUAAGUCCGCUGUGAAAGUCGGGGGCUCAACCCUCGAAUGCCGGUGGAUACUGUCGGGCUAGAGUGCGGAAGAGGCGAGUGGAAUUCCUGGUGUAGCGGUGAAAUGCGCAGAUAUCUGGAGGAACACCGGUGGCGAAGGCGGCAUCCUGGACCGGUAUUGACGCUGAGGCGCGAAAGCUAGGGGAGCAAACGGG
rnacentral:rRNA from 1 species